GAUGAACGCUGGCGGCGUGCCUAACACAUGCAAGUCGAGCGAAGCACUUUAAUUUGAUUCUUCGGAUGAGGAUUUUUGUGACUGAGCGGCGGACGGGUGGGUAACGCGUGGGCAACCUGCCUUACACAGGGGGAUAACAGUUAGAAAUGACUGCUAAUACCGCAUAAGACCACAGUACUGCAUGGUGCAGUGGUAAAAACUCCGGUGGUGUAAGAUGGGCCCGCGUCUGAUUAGGUAGUUGGCGGGGUAACGGCCCACCAAGCCGACGAUCAGUAGCCGACCUGAGAGGGUGACCGGCCACAUUGGGACUGAGACACGGCCCAGACUCCUACGGGAGGCAGCAGUGGGGAAUAUUGCACAAUGGGGGAAACCCUGAUGCAGCGACGCCGCGUGAGCGAUGAAGUAUUUCGGUAUGUAAAGCUCUAUCAGCAGGGAAGAAAAUGACGGUACCUGACUAAGAAGCCCCGGCUAACUACGUGCCAGCAGCCGCGGUAAUACGUA
rnacentral:rRNA from 1 species